UACGGGGGGAGCAAGCGUUGUUCGGAUUUACUGGGCGUAAAGGGCGCGUAGGCGGCGCAACAAGUCACUUGUGAAAUCUCCGGGCUUAACUCGGAGCGGCCAAGUGAUACUGUCGUGCUAGAGUGCGGAAGGGGCAACUGGAAUUCUCGGUGUAGCGGUGAAAUGCGUAGAUAUCGAGAGGAACACCGGCGGCGAAGGCGGGUUGCUGGGCCGACACUGACGCUGAGGCGCGAAAGCUAGGGGAGCAAACAGG
rnacentral:rRNA from 1 species